CCUACGGGGGGCAGCAGUGGGGAAUAUUGGACAAUGGGGGCAACCCUGAUCCAGCCAUGCCGCGUGUGUGAAGAAGGCCCUCGGGUUGUAAAGCACUUUCAGUGAGGAAGAACGCCUGGUGGUUAAUACCCAUCAGGAAAGACAUCACUCACAGAAGAAGCACCGGCUAACUCCGUGCCAGCAGCCGCGGUAAUACGGAGGGUGCGAGCGUUAAUCGGAAUUACUGGGCGUAAAGCGCGCGUAGGUGGCUUGAUAAGCCGGUUGUGAAAGCCCCGGGCUCAACCUGGGAACGGCAUCCGGAACUGUCAAGGUAGAGUGCAGGAGAGGAAGGUAGAAUUCCCGGUGUAGCGGUGAAAUGCGUAGAGAUCGGGAGGAAUACCAGUGGCGAAGGCGGCCUUCUGGACUGACACUGACACUGAGGUGCGAAAGCGUGGGUAGCAAACAGGAUUAGAUACCCGUGUAGUC
rnacentral:rRNA from 1 species